rnacentral:rRNA from 1 species
AGUGAACGCUGGCGGUAGGCCUAACACAUGCAAGUCGAACGGCAGCACAGUAAGAGCUUGCUCUUACGGGUGGCGAGUGGCGGACGGGUGAGGAAUACAUCGGAAUCUACUUUUUCGUGGGGGAUAACGUGGGGAAACUUACGCUAAUACCGCAUACGACCUACGGGUGAAAGCAGGGGAUCUUCGGACCUUGCGCGAUUGAAUGCGCCGAUGUCGGAUUAGCUAGUUGGCGGGGUAAAGGCCCACCAAGGCGACGAUCCGUAGCUGGUCUGAGAGGAUGAUCAGCCACACUGGAACUGAGACACGGUCCAGACUCCUACGGGAGGCAGCAGUGGGGAAUAUUGGACAAUGGGCGCAAGCCUGAUCCAGCCAUACCGCGUGGGUGAAGAAGGCCUUCGGGUUGUAAAGCCCUUUUGUGGGGAAAGAAAAGCAGCAGGUUAAUACCCCGCGGUUCUGACGGUACCCAAAGAAUAAGCACCGGCUAACUUCGUG